UCAUAUUAAUUGUAUUACUCUAUUAUAAUAAUAGGUAUGUUGUUAAGCGGGGUGGUUUAGUCUUUUUGAAGAAAAUGGAGGGUAAAGUAUCUCUAUUAAUCGCAGUUUCCAUGUCAUUUGCAAAAACUGUAAUUGGCUUCGUCGGCAAGAUGCCACGUGGAAAUUUCUGCUAAAAUUUGUUUUUUAUGUUUUGGCCUUUUU
rnacentral:lncRNA from 1 species